UACCGGCGGCUCGAGUGGUGGCCGCUAUUACUGGGCUUAAAGGGUCCGUAGCUUGAUAUACAAGUCCCUUGAGAAAUCCGCCAGCUUAACUGGCGGGCGUUCAGGGGAAACUGUAUUUCUAGGGACCGGGAGAGGUGAGAGGUACUGCCGGGGUAGGAGUGAAAUCCUGUAAUCCCGGUGGGACCACCUAUGGCGAAGGCAUCUCACCAGAACGGGUCCGACAGUGAGGGACGAAAGCUGGGGGA
rnacentral:rRNA from 2 species